AUUGAACGCUGGCGGCAUGCCUUACACAUGCAAGUCGAGCGGCAGCGCGGGGGCAACCCUGGCGGCGAGCGGCGAACGGGUGAGUAAUACAUCGGAACGUGUCCUGUCGUGGGGGAUAACCAGUCGAAAGACUGGCUAAUACCGCAUGAGAUCGAAAGAUGAAAGCGGGGGACCGCAAGGCCUCGCGCGAUUGGAGCGGCCGAUGUCGGAUUAGCUAGUUGGCGGGGUAAGAGCCCACCAAGGCGACGAUCCGUAGCUGGUUUGAGAGAACGACCAGCCACACUGGGACUGAGACACGGCCCAGACUCCUACGGGAGGCAGCAGUGGGGAAUUUUGGACAAUGGGGGCAACCCUGAUCCAGCCAUGCCGCGUGUGUGAAGAAGGCCUUCGGGUUGUAAAGCACUUUCGGCCGGAACGAAAUCGCGCGGAUUAAUAACUCGCGUGGAUGACGGUACCGGAAGAGGAAGCACCGGCUAACUACGUGCCAGCCGCCGCGGUAACAC
rnacentral:rRNA from 1 species